UACGGGGGGGGCAAGCGUUGUUCGGAAUUACUGGGCGUCAAGGGCUCGUAGGCGGCCAACUAAGUCGGACGUGAAAUCCCUCAGCUUAACUGGGGAACUGCGUCUGAUACUGGAUGGCUUGAGUGCAGGAGAGGAAUGCGGAAUUCCAGGUGUAGCGGUGAAAUGCGUAGAUAUCUGGAGGAACACCGGUGGCGAAGGCGGCAUUCUGGACUGUAACUGACACUGAGGAACGAAAGCCAGGGGAGCAAACGGG
rnacentral:rRNA from 1 species